ACAAUGAUAAAGGAAGGAGAGGGUGAUGAGCACAAACGUGGGACAGAAAGCUACCAUGUUGAGUGAAACGCGUCAGCCAUGUCCAAAGGGAUUUCAACCCUUCUUGAGUUAUUAACUAUUUGUACAUGCCUGUAGAACUUAGUAACAUAAGUUGUCUCCAUCAUAACUUUAAUCUACUGAUAUCUCGAGCAUCGUUCAAUCACUGCUUGCCCGCUUCUUGCAUGCAAAAUUUACUCUCAGCUUCCUGUCAGAUGGAUUAUCCAGCUUGUAUCCCUAAUUCACCAGGUUCUCAGACUGCUAUUUGUUAUAUGGCGACCUUUCUGUGUGUAAAUACGUGUGUUGGACUCGUUGUUCGAGGCCGUGUGCACAGUAGAUAACCUUCCUGUCCACGGUGCAGAACAUGCUGAUACUAGAAAAUGGACAGAACAAAAAGGCCUGAUGAUUAGAGACACGCACCAGAGAUAAAAAUGUCAAAGGAAAUAGACACCGAGUUCACUCUGCGCAAAAACAAGGAAAACCCUCCCACUGGACUUUCAGGUUAGUACAGUUUACAAACCAAACAGAGAAACACAAACUGAAUUCCGUUGCAACAUGUUGACACCAGUGAUCAAAGAAGUCAAUCCCACGUCUGUGUAGUCCCACCACCCUAUCCCCCUGUGGACGCCCCCACCCUUUCCGCUCAAAUGUGGUGUCCACCCAGUGACCAGCUGCAGCUUGGCUGCGCUCAGGAGAGUGAUAUCAUCAUUACAGGAGAGGACAGAGACAGAGACAGGAGGCCACCCAUCGCAGCCGGCACUGCAAAGAACUCUAGGAAAAUAAGGCGAUGCUUGAGUAGCUGCUGCGUAGAUUACGGGCUGAACACAACAACACUGAAAUGCGAUGGAGAAUCUGCUGCAGGA